AUCCAGCUGACGAGUCCCAAAUAGGACGAAACGUGCAUCCUCGAU
rfam:Schistosoma mattheei strain Denwood, Zambia genome assembly, scaffold: SMTD_scaffold0016231